rnacentral:tRNA from 1 species
AGGUGGCUUAGUGGAUAAAGCAUUGGACUGUCGAUCAUGAGGUUCUGGGUUCUAUCCCCAGUCU